rnacentral:lncRNA from 1 species
UCAGGAGGCUGAGGCAGGAAAAUCGCUUGAACCCAGGAGGCGGAGGUUGCAGUGAAUACAAUAAAAUACACCCAUAGAAUGGCCGAUAUCGCGCCAUUGCACUCCAGCCUGGGUGACAGAGCGAGACUUCAUCUCAAAAAAAAGAAGGAAGAAAGGUACAUUCUCAUAAUGCCUUAAAUUAGUUACUUGGGAUUUAUUUGACAAUGAUUAGGAAUAACUGUUUCAAAAGAUAUAUUUUUUCAUAUACCUUAGAAAACAAUAGAUAUUUGUUCAACUCUCUAAUUGUGGGUUUGCAUUUGAAAUGUGUAUUGUGAUUCAAAAGUUUUCUCUACCUAGAAGGGGAAUACAACACAUGGAAAUUAUUAUUGCUGGUGACACCAGAUAAUAUUUUGCCUAAACUCCUGAGGUGAGUGCUCUAUGAAGACCCCAUUCAACCCAGACCUUUGAAAUGGCUCACUUCCCAUUUAAACUCUAUUAAUCUUCUACCUCAUGGAGGCAACAGGUGGUUUAGAAAAGAGCCAAUAGAAAGAUAAUUUUUGUCCUUCAGGAUCAGUGCCAAUGGAAAAAAGUGACCUGAAAUACAGAUCUCAGGCCUGACAUGAUGAAAAUCUAGUGCCACAGCUGUUGUCUCUCAGAACUGUCACUCAUCAUGUUUUAAUUUCACAGUUUUGAUUUAAUCUUUUCUAAAUACAGCACUGGAUAAAUACAGAACAAGAUAACAAGAGUUCCCAGCAAAGGAUCCAGGGUGGCCAAUACAAGCUUUAGAUGCUUCUUGAUACCUUUAUUUAAAGAACCAAAUUUUGUCAGAAUCACUCAACUCAUCAGGCACCGUGGCUGACACCUAUAAUCCCAACACUUUGGAAGGCUGAAGUCGGAGGAUCAAUUGAACCCAGGAGUUCAAGACCAGCCUGGACAAUAUAGCAAGACCCUGUCUCCACAAAAGAAUUAAAAAACUAGCUGGGCUUGGUGGCAUGCACCUGUAGUCCCAGCUACAUGGGAAGCCGAGGUGGGAGGAUUGCUUGAGCCCGAGAGGUUAAGGCUGCAGUGGGCCACGAUUGUGCCACUACGCUUCAGCCUGGGCAACAGAGUGAGACCCCACCCCCACCCUGCCCCCCUAAAGAAAGAGAAAAAAAAUCGCUCAUCUCUUUUGGAGGGUACCAAGAAGCAAAUGAAUGAUAGUGAAAAUAUAUAGUGCAAACAGUCCUUAUUUUCUUCAGUUGGUGAUGAUUCAAUGACCUGUUAGAAAGAUCUCAGUGUAGAAAAGGCCUUGACUAGUCAGGUGAUCUUUGUGAACUCCUUCACCCUCAGAAAGGAAAAAUAAUAUUGGUUCUGCCUCCUGGCACUGGCAAGAAACACAUGAAUGCCUGUGCAAGUGCAUAUCAAGGACUGCAAUGUCAUUUAUCAACAGAUUUCCAAAGCAGCAAAGAGCAAGCAUUUAAACCAUGCAAUUGAAUUUUAGGAAAAAUGCUCAAAAAUAAAAUUUGACUAAUUAUUCAACCUUGUUAGGCAUUCUGCCCGAUCAUCUUUCUUUUUUCCUACACAGCGCAAAACACUUAUUUGUGGUAUUCAUUAGAAGGAA